rnacentral:lncRNA from 1 species
GCUGGAAAGGAUGCGCACACACCCCGAGAAGUACAACCCUAAUAAAUUCUGCCUCUAUCAUCGUGACCAUGGCCAUGACACGGAGGAGUGCAUUCAGCUCCGAGAUGGGAUCGAGGAGCUCAUCAGAUGAGGUCGGCUCGACAGAUUCAUCCGAUAUCGGCCUAAGGGUAGAGAAGAUCGGUCGAGGGCCCUACCACUGCCAGAGUCACCAAGGAGGGAAGAACAGCCUAA